GGUGAGGUGCCUGAGAGGCCGAAAGGAGCAGUUUGCUAAACUGUCGUACGGGGAAACCUGUACCGUGGGUUCGAAUCCCACCCUCACCG
rnacentral:tRNA from 2 species